UGAGGAAUAUUGGACAAUGGAUGGAAAUCUGAUCCAGCCAUGCCGCGUGCAGGAAGAAUGUCCUAUGGAUUGUAAACUGCUUUUGUAUGGGAGCAAUAAGGUCUUCGUGAAGACUGAUGAGAGUACCAUACGAAUAAGCACCGGCUAACUCCGUGCCAGCAGCCGCGGUAAUACGGAGGGUGCAAGCGUUAUCCGGAUUUAUUGGGUUUAAAGGGUGCGUAGGCGGUUAUAUAAGUCAGCGGUGAAAUUUUUCAGCUUAACUGGAAACAUGCCGUUGAUACUGGAUAGCUUGAAUAUGGU
rnacentral:rRNA from 1 species